rnacentral:rRNA from 1 species
GCCGUUGGGGGGAUUUCCCCUUAGUGGCGAAGCUAACGCGUUAAGUUAUCCGCCUGGGGAGUACGGCCGCAAGGUUAAAACUCAAAGGAAUUGACGGGGACCCGCACAAGCGGUGGAGCAUGUGGUUUAAUUCGAUGCAACGCGAAGAACCUUACCUGGUCUUGACAUCCUGAGAACUUUCUAGAAAUAGAUUGGUGCCUUCGGGAACUCAGUGACAGGUGCCGCAUGGCUGUCGUCAGCUCGUGUCGUGAGAUGUUGGGUUAGGUCCCGUAACGAGCGCAACCCCUAUCCUUAUUUGCCAGCACAUCAUGGUGGGAACUAUAAGGAGACUGCCGGUGAUAAACCGGAGGAAGGCGGGGACGACGUCAAGUCAUCAUGGCCCUUACGACCAGGGCUACACACGUGCUACAAUGGGAAGGACAAAGAGCCGCGAAGCCGCGAGGUGUAGCUAAUCUCAGAAACCUUUUCGUAGUCCGGAUUGGAGUCUGCAACUCGACUCCAUGAAGUCGGAAUCGCUAGUAAUCGUAGAUCAGAAUGCUACGGUGAAUACGUUCCCGGGUCUUGUACACACCGCCCGUCAUACCAUGGGAGUGGGUUGCACCAGAAGUGGCUAGUCUAACUUUAUUGAGGACGGUCACCACGGUGUGAUUCAUGACUGGGGUA